AAGCCAUAAUAUAUCAAUUCUUCUCAAGUCUUGUGCUAUUUCGUAUUAUCAGCCGAAAGAUUAGGGAUCAGAAAAGCCAGUGAGAUGCAUUUUAAAAUCGAGAAAAUAUACAGAUUAUUUUUCAACAAAAUGUUGAACAUUAGCACUGCGCAAAAUGGAAACAGUUUUACCUAAGAAGUUAUCUAAACUGAGCUUCAGAAUUUUAUGCAGCAGAUAUGACUAAAUCUUCGCUGUUUUAUUAAGUUAUUUUGAAGUGUUAAAAUCUCAGGUAUACUACAGAUUAUUUUCAAUUAAAGCAUGAAGAACGAAUUAAGUUUUAGUUUUGGUGAAGGGGAUGUGCAUUUCAGUAUUCUGCAUACUAACAUUUCGCUGACAGCAUGGUCAAUAUUCUGAGACAUUUUAAAAUACUAAGAAUUCCUUCUUCAUUUGAUCCACAUCCAAUUAGUACCUGAUUAAUAAGUAUGGAACUGUACUCGUUUGAAAUCGGAUCUGCCAUUUUGUAUAAUCUUGUACUUUAAAAGAUGCGAUUUUCGUUCAUUAAUAUUAUGACAUUUGGGUACUUACGUAUUAUCGAACCACCUUCGUAGAAGUCGCAAAUUCUGCCAGCCAUCCGCAUAACAGUUCUUUAGGUAACUAUAUCCAUUGUAAGUUGCAAUCCGAAAAUUCACUGAAUCACCUUUUUCUUCUGUGAUUGAGUUAAUACAAGGUUGAUCAAUAGCAGACGGGAUAAAGCAAAGGAUACAAUGUACAGCUGAACACAGCUAGUACAUUGUAGCUCGCCUACUGUGGCUCAAGUCCUUGCAGUAGAAAAAACUGGCUACGUGUGUGUUUCGGGGUUUUUUCUCAUGUGUAACUGCCUUCGUAGUGUAACUGGAUCGCAAGUCCGAUUAGCAGUCAGGAGGUCAGGUGUUCAUAUCCCGACUACGUCACUACAAAGGUUUCAUGUCUCCUGCACCUACAAACCUAAUGACACUGCAAGUGGAGGCUCCGGAACUAAAAGGUGGUGGAUUCACCACCACCAGGAUUUGGCGAUUAGGUCCCCUCAUACCCAGUUGCCCUUUAAUGGGGGAAUUAUAUAAAAUUCUCUCCCUCGUUUUCUAGUGCCUUCGUGGUGUAACUAGAUAGCACAUCCGGUUAGCACUCGGGACGUCUGGUAUUCGAAUCUUGGCUAAGGCACUAAAGAUGUUUCAUGUUCCUGCAUCGAUAUUGCAUAAUGACUUAACAAAUAAAAGGGAGCAAAUAGAAAGUGAAUGCAUAUUAAAUACAUAAAUAAAAUGCAUAGGUAAUAAGUGAAUAAAUAUAAGGUCCCCCUACAAAAGCAUCGGAUUUAAUAUGCCCAAGAAUAUUUUAUCUGUAGAAAAUGACAAAAUGCAUUCUUACAACGGGUAAAUGGUCCGAUUUGAAAUGUCGAGUUUUUACACUGAUGUUUUAUCAUUGCAAAAUCAUUUCGCACUUCAGUCGACAUAGAUCGCCACAUAAGAGAACAACCAGUUUUUAUUGCUAAAAAUUCAAUACAAUAAUGGCGAGUGUUAUGCACAAACUGUUAAGAAGCUCAGUGUAAUCUUUGGACAUAAAAAUGCACUUAAUGGAACAGCAUUUCGCACACUGAUAAAGAAAUUUCAGGAGACAGGUUCGACAGCAGACUUUCAGUUACCACCUCUUGAUCUAGCCAUCUCUUGAAAACAUCGCUAUUGUGCUUCGUAGUGUUACUGAAAUUCUCAAAACUCUGAACUUAAAGAGAAGCAAACAAAAGAACUUGAAGAGGAAAUUGAAAAGUGUUAUUAACCGCAUCGAUAAGUAGAUAUAUGAAAAGUGAUUACGCAAUUGAUCGGGAUAUUGAGCUGCUGCAGAGCGAAUCGUGGAGGACAUAUGCCAGGCGUUGUGUUUCAUUCUUAAGCAAGAACAUUUACUAGUUGUAGUAAGUAUGUAAACAUAUUUUCGAUUUUCUAAAAAUAAAAUAUUUUCAUAGGUAUACUAAAUGUUGUUAGGUCACUCUUUGUGUGUUAGGACUUACCAGAUAAAUGUGAAAAAUGAGAGAGCACGUUUAUGUUUUAAGUGUUUUCUUAUUUCAAAUUAUCUAAGGGGGAAAGUUUUCUUUUGAGUCGAAAAUAAAAUAUCUCAUUUGUGUUUUCA